rnacentral:rRNA from 1 species
CAGCCGCCGCGGUAAUACGUAGGGGGCAAGCGUUAUCCGGAUUUACUGGGUGUAAAGGGAGCGCAGGCGGUGCGGCAAGUCUGAUGUGAAAGCCCGGGGCUCAACCCCGGGACUGCAUUGGAAACUGUCGUACUUGAGUAUCGGAGAGGUAAGUGGAAUUCCUAGUGUAGCGGUGAAAUGCGUAGAUAUUAGGAGGAACACCAGUGGCGAAGGCGGCUUACUGGACGAUAACUGACGCUGAGGCUCGAAAGCGUGGGGAGCAAACAGGAUUAGAUACCCGAUAGUCCCUGUCUCUAUACAC